UCUGGCCAAGUUUUUAAUAGAAAAUAGAACCAAAGUUAAUUUUACAUUUAAAAAAAGCGAAAGUACGAAAAAUUUUGAUAUGGUGAAAUUAUUAGUGGAAAAUGGAGCCGAUGUUAACUUUAGGGAUGAUUAGGACUCGUAUUUAUUGUUUCAAUGUUUGCAAAUCAAUCGCGACAUGACUGAAUAUUUAAUAAGUAAAGGGGCCAAAAUGGAGUGGCAAUGUCUAGAAAAAAACACUGAACAUUUCUUCAGCAAAUGUUUAGAAAAUGUAGAACAGUGGAAAAUCGUUCUUAAAGAUAUUCUGUUGGAUCAGUUUGGGCCGGAAACAAUGGCAAAGGUAGUGAAAACAUAAUUUCUUGCUUGUGAAAUACUUCAUGGAGCAAGGACUUGAUGUAUAUAAUGAUCAGAGAAAAAUCUUCUUGGAAUAGUUGCAAGUAGAUGCAAUUUUCCUAUUGUCCAACUUUUGGUUGAUGCUGGCCUUGAUAUUGAAAUGGCCAAAGAAGAAAUGCAAUAUUUUGCCUGUCGCAACGUUUGAUGCUUAAACUCAAAGCUCGAUUCUUUACGACAAUGAAUGGUAGGGUCGGAAAAACUGUCGCCACAGGUAAGAUAUCUCUAGCCAGAAUUACUGAAAAAACGGCAAAAUGUAUUCAUGGAAAACCAUCACCGGAUGAACUCAAGAAAAACAUUAACCAAAGUAAUACAGAACGGGAAACAAUAAAUUCAUAAGUCAGCAACAAAUUGCGAAAAAAACAACUAUAAGGUGUGAAGAGAAAAAUAUUAGAACACAAAAUUCUGAAAAUAAACCAGAAUUGCAGGGAAAAUAGGAACCAAAAAAUUAGAAGGCUGUACUUAGUUAUUUAUACAGGCUGUUCCGUCUAAACCCCACAUUAGAAGUUUGGGAGUUCUAAUAAUGAUAGUCAUCUGAAAAUUUGUGUACAACAAUGAUAUUUUAGGUCCUGCUCAAUGAAAAUAUUUUCAAGAUGGCAGCACUUUUGGUUAUACCGGAAGUCGCUAACAACUUUCUUAUUUUAAAUGAAAAGCUAUAUUUUUUAACGCGUUUUUGAAUUACUAGAGUUAUUUAAGGUAGUUUUCAUAAGCUUUCCCUUUACCUGAAUUUAGCCGUUUACGAAAUA